rnacentral:lncRNA from 10 species
GGGAAGCCAAGCACGUUAGAUUUACUAGGGUCAUGUCUGCAGGUGAGGUAACAGCACACACAUACAGAAAUUCACGGGCAGAGAUGCCACCGCAGCAUCACCGUCAGACACCAAAGCAGCAGGAGGGCUCAGGAAGUGGCUUUGGAAAGUUCUCGUGAAAAUCAAAGGGCAGCUUUGGUGCUCAGAGAUUCAAACAGAAAACUAUACAAAACCAACCCAUAAAUAUAUAUAUAUAUAUAAUAUGUGUAUAUAUAUAAAAUUGCAAAAUAAAAGCCCAAGAAACUAACCACCGAUCUGCACGUCAGUGGCUCAAAAAGUGUUAGCAUAGAGAAAGGCAAAACCAUCUGUGGGGGUGAUGCAUACUCAAGGGGGCCGGCAUUUCAGUAGCAGAAAGAGUAUUUACAUGGAACCCCUAUUUGAAACCUCACAAUACUAGGAAAAGCUAAACACAGACAAUGUAUGUACAAGGGAAGACAGUAAGUACUCUUGCGUGACGAUUGUCAGACACAGACAUUUCACUGAAACCAUCCAUAGCUUUAGAGAACACUGCAUUCUAUCUAGACUGGGUUCCUGCUUGCCUGCACCCCAGCCAGGCGAUCUCAGGCUCUGGACCGUAUGUUCUCCCCCACCUGGCCUCUUCCCGGAGAGAGCAAACACUAAGAUGUUGGUUGCAGCAUAAAUUGCAGGAAUUUAAAGGUGGGGCAGUCCUUGGGAUUCAGCCCUGCCUACCUAUGAAGGGACCCCUCAACCCCUGAG